UCUUUUCUUUUUUUUUUUUUUUUUUGAGAUAUAGUCUUGCUCUGUCACCCAGGCUGGACUGCAAUGGCAUGAUCUCGGCUCACUGCAACAUCUGCCUCCCAGGUUCAAACGAUUCUCUUGCCUCAGCUUCCUGAGUAGCUGGGAUUACAGGCUCCUGCCACCAUGUCCCGCUAAUUUUUUUAUUUUUUGUAGAGACGGCGUUUUGCCAUGUUGGUCAGGCUGGUCUCGAACUCCUGACCUCGUGAUCCACCUGCCUUGGCCUCCGCAUGUUGGGAUUACGGGUGUGAGUCACUGCACCUGGCUUCUGUGGCUUUUCUGACAUAUUCCAUGCCUGACUUUGAAAAAACUCUCAGGUGAAAGUCUUGGUUGUAUGCAGUAGCAAGCAUGGACUAGAUUGAUAAAUACCAAGGGGCUUACAACAAGAUCUCUCUCUCCAUCUCUGGAUGGAGAUACCAUCAGAUCUCUCUCUCCAUCUCUGUCUCUAGCUUUGUCUGCAUACUGGCUUAAUUUCUUCUUGCUCAAGCCUUUUCUCCAUAAGGCGAGAUACGUGGCCACAAAAGCUCCUGUAUUUCUCACUACACACAGUUCCUGUCAUCACAGAGAAUGAUUAACUUGGUCUGGUUCCAGUUUGGAAAAAUAUUCAAGGGAAGAAUUCUGAUUGGCCAAUUUAGGCCAGAUGUUCAUCCCUGGACAAAUCAACUGAGGCCAGAGGGGUGGAGUCACGUGAGAACAUGGCAGCCCCCAUGAGAGCCACGUGACUGGAGUAGGAAGUGUGAGUCUCCAUACAGGGGAGGGCUGCUAGGCUGAAAAGGCAAUAGAUGUCUGCAGUGAAAGGAAUAGAUUAGGAGAUAUAUUCUGUUAAACCUAUUAAUUAUUAAAAAAAGAAACUUUCAAUAUACAGUUACAGUAUACGUGAGCCGGUGGCUCACGCCUAUAAUCCCAGCACUUUGGGAGGCUGAGGUGGGCAGAUCAGAGGUCAGGAGUUCAAGACCAACCUGACCAACAUGGUGAAACCCCGUCUUGCGCACCUAUAAUCCCAGCUACUCAGGAGGCUGAGGCAGGAGAAUCACUUGAACCCGGGAGGUGGAGGUUGCAGUGAGCUGAGAUCACGCCACUGCCCUCCAGCCUGGGCAACAGAGUGAGACUCCCUCUCAAAAAAAAAAGUUACAUUGUGGUUCCUUCAGCACGAUUUAUCAGAAAGGAAAAACUUACCAUAUGUAUAUUUCCUAUGCACAGGCUACUGCUGUGAAUUCAAAUUCUUAAAUUCCAAAGAUUAAUUACAAUGUUUCUCAAGACACAUAAACUGUGUUAGAAUCUGCUUAUAAUGAGGCUGAAGUUGAGUAAGAAGAGAACUGGCAUUUAGUACACUACUUUUCUUCUGUCGAGUACUGUCAAGUUUAGGUUCUGCCUGGAAGUAGAUGCACCUCAAGGGAGGGUUACAUGUAAAGGUAUGUGUGUGUGUGUGUGUGUGUGUGUGGUAGUUUCCAAAGAUGGGUACAACUUUCUGCAAACGCUCGUGCAGUGUAACUGAACCAAUCUUUCCUUUAAGAGGUAGAGUUUAUAUUCCUCUACAUGAAUCUGGGCUGCCUAUGACUUGCUUUGGCCAGUGGAAUGCUGCCAAAGUGAUGGUGACCAACUUCUAGCCUUGAAAGGAAAAUAAACCUUGGGGCCCCAAGAUCACUAAGCUAGGCCGGGCUCAGUGGCUCACGCCUGUAAUCCCAGCACUUUGGGAAGCUGAGGCAGGCGGAUCACCUGAGGUCAGGAGUUCCCAGCACUUUGGGAAGCUGAGGCGGGCAGAUCACCUGAGGUCAGGAGUUCAAGACCAGCCUGGCCAACAUGAUGAAACCCCGUCUCUACUAAAAAAUAUGAAAAUUAGCCAGGUGUGGUUGCAGGCGCCUGUAAUCCCAGCUACUCGGGAGGCUGAGGCAGGGAAAAUUGCUUGAACCCUGGAGUUGGAGGUUGCAGUGAACCGAGAUCGCACCACUGCACUCCAGCCUGGGCAACAGAGUGAGACUCUGUCCCAAAAAAAAAAAAAAAAAGAAGUUACUAAGCUAAAGAGAAAAGGUCAAGCUGGGAACUGCUUAGGGCAAACCUGCCUCCCAUUCUAUUCAAAGUCACCCCUUUGUUCAAUGAGAUAAAUGUAUAUCUGAUUGUCUCAUUUGGAGAGGCUAAUCAGGAACUCAAAAGAAUGCAACCAUUUGUCUCUUAACUACCUAUGACCUGGAAGCCCCCUCCCCGCUUCGAGUUGUCUCACCUUCACCUUCACCUGGAGUUGUCCCGCCUUUCCAGACUGGACCAAUGUACAUCUUGCACAUAUUGAUUGAUGUCUCAUGUCUCUCUAAAAGGUAUGAAACCAAGCUGUGUCCCUACCACUUUAGGCACAUGUUGUCAGGACCUCCUGAGGCUCUAUCACAGGCUUGCGUCCUUCGACCUUGGCAAAAUAAACUUUCUGAAUUAACUGAGACCUCAAAUUUUUGGGGUGCAUAUAGUCUUAGGCCUUGAGAGCCUUCUAGUAGUUUCCAUAUUUUUGCCCUCUUGGAUGCUGGCACCAAGCAAGCCUUGGCUAUCCUGCUUAAAGGGCCAUUUGGAGAGGGGCUCUGGAGGGCGAGGGGCCACAUGGAGGAAAACAAGGUUCCCCGGCUGACAGUCAGCACCAACUGCCAGGCACAUGCGUGAGGCUGUCCUGGAUGUUCCGCCCAGCUGGCCCUCCAGCUGCAGGCAGCCACACAAAUGAGCCCAGGUUAAACCAGACAGGAAGUCCCCGUGCAACUCACAGGGUCAUGAGCAAUAAUGAUUUGUGGUGGUUUAAAAUUUCUAAUUUUAGGUGCAAUAGGUAACUGAAAUAGCCCACAAUGCUGUGAGCCUGUGGAGGGUGCAUUUCCCACCUGUUGAAACUUCUCAAUUCCCAGGAUCCAAUCCGAAUAAGACUCUUGUUCUCAGUGUCCUUGAUGGAAAUGGCAAUGAACUUUUUGCAGAUUGGACCAUCUCAGGGGAAUCCCAAAGAUCGGAAACUAUUUUCUUUCUUAGAAACUUCCACACAGCAUUGAGCCUUAGGAAUUUCUAAGAAGGAUCUGAAAUGAAAAAAGAUCUUUUGAAAAGGUAUUUGUGUAGCUUCACUUCAGCAAGGUUCAUGGUGGGUGUUAGACUAAGUGCUGGUGUUAAGCCAAACCAUGUUUUUCAAAGACUCAUCUGGCCUCAAGGUUGGCAGGAUCAGAGUGGCCUCCCAGGAUCUAUCACAUCCUCAGAAGAGUUGGUUCAACUGGCAUGUACCCAGAUCUCUUUGAGCUAGUAUGAUACUCCCUUGAGUCAAAGGCUGUCACAUCACGUCUCCUUUAAGUCCCCCUAAGUAGGGGGACUUCUGGGGAGAAGCAUUGACAAAGUGUGCUAUUACUGAAGAUUUCAGGAGGACAUAAACGAAGAGAUUAAACUGCAAGGUACCAAAACUUCCAUCUUUGCUAAAGACCCUCAUCCAGGCUGGGUGCGGUGGCUCCUGCCUGUAAUCCCAGCACUUUGGGAGGCCAAGGCGGGCGAAUCACCUGAGGUCAGGAGUUCAAGACCAGCCUGAUCAACAUGGAGAAACCCCGUCUCUACUAAAAAUACAAAAUUAGACAGGUGUGGUGGCACAUGCCUGUAAUCCCAGCUACUAGGGAGGCUGAGGCAGGAGAAUCGCUUGAACCUGGGAGGUGUAGGUUGCGGUGAGCUGAGAUCGUGCCAUUGCACUCCAGCCUGGGCAACAAGAGCAAAACUCCAUCUCAAAAACAAACAAACAAACAGAAAGCCCUUAUCCAAUGGUCAUGGCACUCUAUCUGGCCAUGUAAUUUCUCCUCCUGGCUUUCUGUAGCAACAGCCUUCUGAGGACCCUCACUCUGCCUUUCAAAACCCCUUCAACUUGUACCCUUCAUCAGCAAAGUAUUUAGCUCAACAUGUAUGCCUCUGGGGGAACUCAUCCACAUGCCAUUUAAGGAUAUUUCCAGCAAUAUCAUCUUCACUACCCCAGGACAGCAUUUUAGAGUGGAUGACGUGCCUGCUGGAUGUGGUGUUCUUGAGCGAGUUAGAGAAAACGCUACACUUUGAGAUGAAUUAAGAGUCUGUUUAUUUAGCCGGCGGCUAAGAAAUGGCUAGCGUUUAAAGUUCUCUCGGCUUCGAAGAAGGGGUUAAGGUUUUCUUUUAUACUUUGGUUUAGAAAGAGGAGGGGGGUCUAGUUAAAACAAUUUUACAUAAGUAAAGUAGGCAGAAAAGUUAAAAAGAUAAAUUGUUACAGGAAAGUAAACAGUUCUAGGUCUAGGGCCUUUAAGACUAUUAUAAGGUGAUAGAAGCGGGGCUUUGGGCGUUAUCAACCAGAUGAAUUCCUGGGAACUGCGGAUAUUGCUCACCACAGUAUCUUAUCAGUUAAUUGCAUUCUUCCAUGUGCUGGGAGUCAGCUUGCACAAGUUAAGUCCUUGAGGAAGGGGCUGCCAGUGAAAGAGCCAAGAUGGAAUCUGUCUGGCUCUCUUAGCUAAGGGAGAGUCAAUUCAGGUGGAAACAAGGCUAGGUCAUUAAAAGAAAGGGAGAGUCUAAAAACAGUGUUAGUAAAAACAAGGUUGGGCAUUACAUUCCUCACUUGUGUUUUUGGGGAAUCAAAUCGUUGAUUCUUCAGUUAUAACAAGGGGUUAUAUUGAGUCUUCAGAUACACAAGUUUGACAGAAGCUAUGAGUUGUUUUACAAAAUUAAGAAACUAAUUUAAUAUACAAGGCCCAAAUUAGACUUAUUAACAGGAUGGGGAGGGGGUCCGGCUAACUUAGUAAUUAGAGUGGUUUGCUAUGGGUUCUAGUUGAACAUGUUUUGAUACUAGGGGAUGUUAUUUUCUUGUUCUUGUUGGCGCUUGUCUAGAUUUUCUUGCACUUUUUGGGGUGUAUCUUUUAUGACUAAGAAAGGUGGAGGAACAGUUAAAUCAACUUUGUCAGGGUGUUUCUGGAACAUAGGGUUACUUAGAUCAGUUAAAGGCCUGAUUGGCUUGGGUGGGCUUUAUGAGACUAGGGUUUUUUUGGAUGGUGAACAUAGGCUUAACAUUAAAUCCUGGGAUACAAAAUCUUAAUCUUCAUGACAUGCCAUGAUGCUAUUGAGUUGAAUUAAGGUCAUGGACAGUUAUAGUAAGAGGAUUACAAUUUUUCUAGUACAUAAUUUAGGAUGAGAAGCACUACUUAUGGAAAGAGUUGAAGAUCUGGUUGAUCUUUUAGAGUAGGUGGCUAAAGUUACACAUGUCUAGCCAGGGAAGAAAAACUGAUAAGCAUCUUGACAGCUAGCGUCAGGGUGAUUUCUAGGACAGAGGUAAAAGUCAAUAUUUUGGAGUCUUUUUUCUGCACUUUUGGAGCUUCUGCAUUUAGUUUGGCUCUUGGAGUAUCUGAAUCUUGCUGCAAGGUCGACACUUCCUGCUCCCGGGACUGGCAGACUGUGUUGUUUUCGUGGGUAUGGGUGGCUUUGGGAACAGUACAAAUAAAUCAACUGCGAAGGAGACUUCCUUGGAGGUACUGGCCUUCUAAGUGGUGUUUGCAAAUACACGUCCUGUUGUCAAAGAGGUGAGGAGAAAGGAGUAGGAAGGCACAGAGGACGUAACUGGCAAAAACAAAUAAGUGAAGUAGAUAAAAAGAAUUAAUCUAAUGGCUUCACCUGACUUAGGUGCAGUUUUAAGGGGCCUGACUUAGGCCUGGGGACUUAUGUUUUGAGCUGGGAUCUGUUGGCCUUUUUGAUGCGGGAGUGAUGAAUGUAAGCAGGAAUGCCGUCUACUUUCAGAGCAGCUGGAGUCGUGAGGAUGAAGGUGUGAGGUCUUUUCUAAGCAGGAGUGAGUCUUUCUUUUUGGAAAUUUUUAACAAACACUAGGUCUCUUGGCUGGAAUGAAUGGCAGGACUUUGUCUGGUCAGGAAUUGGAUUGGGAUGGGCUCCUCGAACAAGUGACAGGAUGAUCUCUUGUACCAGUUGGAGAGACUAUACGUACUGUAAUAAAUUAGUUUGUGAUAUUUCUGCUAAUUUGGCAUCUCUUAGCUUAAGCAAGAUAGGCAGCGCCUUCUUAUACAUGAUUUCAAAGGGUGAGAACUUAGCCUAAAGGGUGCACCUUAGUUUAAGUAGGGCUAAAGGAAGGAGACUUACUUAAUUUACACUGGUUUUUAAGAUUAAUUUUGUAGGAGUGUUUUUUAGGGUGUGGUUCAUGCGUUCUACUUGCCUGGAGCUCUGGGGUUGAUAGAGCUCCAGGCAAUAGAAGCACAAUGGAGCUUCUAUCGAAUGUUUAACGCCUUACUGACUGACUGAGCUAUAGGCGAGGUGAAGGCUGUUCUAUUAUCAGACUUUAUGGCAGCAGGCAACCUAUAUUGAGGGAUGAUUUCAUUGCAUAAAAACUUAACUACUGUGUUGGUGGUUUCAUUUUCGGUAGCAAAUGCCUUAGUCUAUCUGGAGAAGGUGUCUACUAGUACUAGAAGGUAUUUGUACUUAGCCUGGUGUGGUUUUACUUCUGUAAAGUCAAUUUCUUACUUUUUUCUCUGCGAGUUUUUUCAGAGACGGUGGCCUGGGCUGGGUUUAGGACUUUGUUUGGCAUAUAUGUGGGCGCAGGUUGUGCACGGGAGAGCUGCUUAAUCUGUUAGGCUUUGAAGACGGGGUAUCUUAAAAUGGCUCCCGUGGAGCUGAGGUAGCUUUGCUCUUUUUAAGUGGGUGGUAGACUGCAGGUGACUGAUUAAAGUUUCUUUAAGAGUUCAGGAUAUGAAGAUUCUAGAGUCAGGAAGAGUCUACUAACUUUCCUGAUUUUUAUUGGCUCUGAGAUCUGAAGCCAGUUUUUUUUUGUUGUUGUUGAGUAUACAGGAUUGUCAGGCAGAUCUGGCUGUGGAAAGGAGACUGUGGGCAGCAAGUUUAGAGGCGUGACUGAAAGUUGCGCUGUGACCUGAGCUACUGAAUCAGCUUUCUGGUUACUAUGGGCAACAGCCGUGUUUUCUUUUUGAUGUCCUUUGCAGUGGAUCACAGCUACCUGCUGAGACAAGGGGAAGGGUUCCUGUGAUGGGAUCAGUCAGAUGCCUGUCUGGCCGCUCCCCCUGAGGGGACUUGGGCUCCUCUUAGCAUUGGCAGGCCGGUAUAAACUUCCGGGCCAGAUCGAGCUAUGCCUGAUGCUGCCUUAAGCCUUAUGAGGUCGCCACGGAACCGCAGAAACUCCUGGAGGGCAGAGCUGUGCCUGCCAUUUUCAUCACUGCAUUACCACCACCCAGCACAGUGCCUGGCACAAAAGAGUUGUUCAAUAAAUAAAUCAGGAUGAAUGGAUAAAUACACAGAUAGGCACUUUGAACUACAGAUGAGCUUAAAUACUUUGUGUUUUUCUUAGUCAAACAUGUGCAAUUAAGCAUGUGAUAAAUUAUAUGAUGACCA